rnacentral:tRNA from 4 species
GCCUAGAUAGCUCAGUCGGUAGAGCAGGGGACUGAAAAUCCCCGUGUCGGUGGUUCGAUUCCGCCUCUGGGCACCA